ACGGAAUGGAAAUUGAAAUUACAUCAGAAGAACAGCAUAUAUGGGAUUUUCUGUUCGAUAUCAAAUACUCAAUGCCACGGAAAAUGGUCAUCUCUUUGUCUAGCGGGGUAACAAGAAAAUUUGGUGAAUCUGCUGAAGAUAUUAUAUUCAAGAGUAUUUACGGCACCGAAAUCACAAAGACGCUGAUGCGCACAUUGAGGGAGGAAGUGAAGGUGUUCUCUGACGUGGUUGAUGCUUGGGUAGAUUUAAUGAAUUUUGAAGAAGUAGAAAGAACCA